CGUGGGACAGCAUAGAAUGCG
rnacentral:miRNA from 1 species